rnacentral:rRNA from 1 species
UACGGGGGGAGCAAGCGUUGUUCGGAAUUACUGGGCGUAAAGCGCGCGUAGGCGGCUUUGUAAGUUAGAGGUGAAAGCCCGGAGCUCAACUCCGGAACUGCCUUUAAAACUGCAUCGCUUGAAUCCAGGAGAGGUGAGUGGAAUUCCGAGUGUAGAGGUGAAAUUCGUAGAUAUUCGGAAAGAACACCAGUGGCGAAGGCGGCUCACUGGACUGGUAUUGACGCUGAGGUGCGAAAGCGUGGGGAGCAAACAGG